rnacentral:sRNA from 1 species
GAUAAUCCUAUAGAAAUAUAUGUUAAUGAUAGUGUAUGGGUACCUGGACCCAUAGAUGAUCGCUGCCCUGCCAAACCUGAGGAAGAAGGGAUGAUGAUAAAUAUUUCCAUUGGGUAUCGUUAUCCUCCUAUUUGCCUAGGGAGAGCACCAGGAUGUUUAAUGCCUGCUGUCCAAAAUUGGUUGGUAGAAGUACCUACUGUCAGUCCCAUCAGUAGAUUCACUUAUCACAUGUCUGCAGGUGUACCCAACAGCUCCGAAGAGACAGCGACCAUCGAGAACGGGCCAUGAUGACGAUGGCGGUUUUGUCGAAAAGAAAAGGGGGAAAUGUGGGGAAAAGCAAGAGA